UACGUAGGGUGCGAGCGUUGUCCGGAUUUAUUGGGCGUAAAGAGCUCGUAGGCGGCUCGUUGCGUCGGCUGUGAAAACCCGCAGCUCAACUGUGGGCUUGCAGCUGAUACGGGCGGGCUGGGAUUCGGUAGGGGAGACUGGAAUUCCUGGUGUAGCGGUGAAAUGCGCAGAUAUCAGGAGGAACACCGGUGGCGAAGGCGGGUCUCUGGGCCGAUAUCGACGCUGAGGAGCGAAAGCGUGGGGAGCGAACAGG
rnacentral:rRNA from 1 species